CAGGAUGUCAGAAACCGAACAUAACCUGCAACUAUCUCCUGCUCUAACAUACGCCUUUUCUCCCUCCAAGGAAGAAGCCACCUUCAAAAAUAAUUAUGUAAAUAAAAUCCCUUACAAAUGUCUCUUCUCGAGAAGGCAGUUUGGCUAAGCAGCAAAAUAUCCGAUGUUAUGAGCUUAACUACAUACUGUGGAUUCAUCGUGUUAAAAAAGAAGCCUCCCUGGAUGAUUUUAGCUCAGUCUCUGAUUCUCUGUGGCUUGAGGAAACGCAGAAGUAUUCCUGGCCGGCUGAUUUAGUAACGGAAUUUCUGUAAACCGUUCCUGAUCCUCUGCUCCCAGUGAAGCUGUUUUGGGACAGAGCUACUUCCAUUCCAGGAAGGAUUAGUUUCAAGACUGAAUACCAGAAGCAGCCAAACAACUCAGCUUGGGAUAUGAGGCUUCAUCAUCCCUGCUGCUCAUGUGUCCCCUAGCAAAGCCAGUCUGGAAAAGGAGAUGAGAUGCCACGUGAAGGACAGCAGGGCGGAUGAGCAGCACUCCCUAGAUGACCCCGACCUCUAUGCCAAAGCUCAGUGUUUCAAAGGAUGCUGCUGUAAGCAUGCCAUAUAUACGUCUUCCUUUUGGUUUACAUUUCUUGUGCUAACAUAAUCAUGUUAAAAAUCAUUACAAAACAGAUGCAUUAUGUACUUAAUUACUAUGAAUCUCACAGAUAGAUGAGCAGAAAAUCAAAUUGAGCAUGAAAGUGGAGCAUUGGAAAAGGUGUAGUAGUCUAAGAGGUCAAUUUAGGACCAAGACUUGGCCAGCUAGAAUGUCAGGUUUGCCCUGUGCCUAAGAAGCUACAAACAUGCUGCCUAUCCAAGAAUGUCUAUCCAGGCCAGAAAAAAGAAACAAUUUCAAGACAUAUUAACACAAAGGAGAAUUUUUGGUUGUUCGGGAGGACAAGCUUUGCCAGGUUAAUGAGAGACAGAAUUUUGCUGUUAGCAAAGCAAAUAAUCAUAUAUCUGAUUUAAGUUACAUAUUGUCAUAAAAAUUUCAAUGAGACCCUCUGCGGCUCCCUAAUUUCAGGCUUUGUGGCUAUUAACACUWAUUCUAGUAACAAAAUUCAAAACUUGGGAAAAAAAUCAUAGAAAAUUUUGAAUAGAAGAGGUGGAAAUAUUUGGACAAUUGAGAAAUUGUGCUGAAACUCUGAAUAUAUUUCUCCAACUAAUUUUUUUCUUGUCAUCUCUGUGUACAGAUAAAUUAGGUGCAUGUGUAAGUACCUUGCUGAAUAGUUUCUCUCUUAGGGGCAAUACGCUCCUAAUUGUUUUGCAGAGUGCUGUGUAGAUUCCUGUAAUUACUAUUUUAUAUGUUGAUUCAAUAUUUUAAGCCAUGUUAAAGGCACCUUAGUUUUGGGAUAUGUCUGUUUUAGGUGUUUUGUAAUAAAUGUGAAUACCUGAAUACA
rnacentral:lncRNA from 1 species